rnacentral:rRNA from 1 species
UUAAGCGACUAAGCGUACACGGUGGAUGCCCUGGCAGUCAGAGGCGAUGAAGGACGUGCUAAUCUGCGAAAAGCGCCGGCGAGGUGAUAUGAACCUUUGACCCGGCGAUGUCCGAAUGGGGAAACCCAGUGCAAUCCGUUGCACUAUCGUUAACUGAAUACAUAGGUUAACGAGGCGAACCGGGGGAACUGAAACAUCUAAGUACCCCGAGGAAAAGAAAUCAACCGAGAUUCCCCCAGUAGCGGCGAGCGAACGGGGAGCAGCCCGGAGUCUGAAUCAGCUUGUGUGUUAGUGGAACGGUCUGGAAAGUCCGACGGUACAGGGUGAUAGUCCCGUACACGAAAAUGCACAUGCUGUGAACUCGAAGAGUAGGGCGGGACACGUGGUAUCCUGUCUGAAUAUGGGGGGACCAUCCUCCAAGGCUAAAUACUCCUGACUGACCGAUAGUGAACCAGUACCGUGAGGGAAAGGCGAAAAGAACCCCGGCGAGGGGAGUGAAAAAGAACCUGAAACCGUGUACGUACAAGCAGUGGGAGCCUCUUUUAUGGGGUGACUGCGUACCUUUUGUAUAAUGGGUCAGCGACUUAUAUUCUGUAGCAAGGUUAACCGUAUAGGGGAGCCGAAGGGAAACCGAGUCUUAACUGGGCGUUAAGUUGCAGGGUAUAGACCCGAAACCCGGUGAUCUAGCCAUGGGCAGGUUGAAGGUUGGGUAACACUAACUGGAGGACCGAACCGACUAAUGUUGAAAAAUUAGCGGAUGACCUGUGGCUGGGGGUGAAAGGCCAAUCAAACCGGGAGAUAGCUGGUUCUCCCCGAAAGCUAUUUAGGUAGCGCCUCGUGAACUCAUCUUCGGGGGUAGAGCACUGUUUCGGCUAGGGGGCCAUCCCGGCUUACCAACCCGAUGCAAACUACGAAUACCGAAGAAUGUUAUCACGGGAGACACACGGCGGGUGCUAACGUCCGUCGUGAAGAGGGAAACAACCCAGACCGCCAGCUAAGGUCCCAAAGUCAUGGUUAAGUGGGAAACGAUGUGGGAAGGCACAGACAGCCAGGAUGUUGGCUUAGAAGCAGCCAUCAUUUAAAGAAAGCGUAAUAGCUCACUGGUCGAGUCGGCCUGCGCGGAAGAUGUAACGGGGCUAAACCAUGCACCGAAGCUGCGGCAGCGACACUAUGUGUUGUUGGGUAGGGGAGCGUUCUGUAAGCCGUUGAAGGUGUGCUGUGAGGCAUGCUGGAGGUAUCAGAAGUGCGAAUGCUGACAUAAGUAACGAUAAAGCGGGUGAAAAGCCCGCUCGCCGGAAGACCAAGGGUUCCUGUCCAACGUUAAUCGGGGCAGGGUGAGUCGACCCCUAAGGCGAGGCCGAAAGGCGUAGUCGAUGGGAAACAGGUUAAUAUUCCUGUACUUGGUGUUACUGCGAAGGGGGGACGGAGAAGGCUAUGUCAGCCGGGCGACGGUUGUCCCGGUUUAAGCAUGUAGGCGGAGGUUCCAGGUAAAUCCGGUACCUUAUUAACGCUGAGGUGUGAUGACGAGGCACUACGGUGCUGAAGUGAUAAAUGCCCUGCUUCCAGGAAAAGCCUCUAAGCAUCAGGUAACACGAAAUCGUACCCCAAACCGACACAGGUGGUCAGGUAGAGAAUACCAAGGCGCUUGAGAGAACUCGGGUGAAGGAACUAGGCAAAAUGGUGCCGUAACUUCGGGAGAAGGCACGCUGAUGUGUAGGUGAAGCCCCUGCGGGCGGAGCUGAAAUCAGUCGAAGAUACCAGCUGGCUGCAACUGUUUAUUAAAAACACAGCACUGUGCAAACACGAAAGUGGACGUAUACGGUGUGACGCCUGCCCGGUGCCGGAAGGUUAAUUGAUGGGGUUAGCGGCAACGCGAAGCUCUUGAUCGAAGCCCCGGUAAACGGCGGCCGUAACUAUAACGGUCCUAAGGUAGCGAAAUUCCUUGUCGGGUAAGUUCCGACCUGCACGAAUGGCGUAAUGAUGGCCAGGCUGUCUCCACCCGAGACUCAGUGAAAUUGAACUCGCUGUGAAGAUGCAGUGUACCCGCGGCAAGACGGAAAGACCCCGUGAACCUUUACUAUAGCUUGACACUGAACACUGGUCCUUGAUGUGUAGGAUAGGUGGGAGGCUUUGAAGCGUGGACGCCAGUCUGCGUGGAGCCAACCUUGAAAUACCACCCUUUAAUGGCUGGUGUUCUAACGUGGACCCGUAAUCCGGGUUGCGGACAGUGUCUGGUGGGUAGUUUGACUGGGGCGGUCUCCUCCCAAAGAGUAACGGAGGAGCACGAAGGUUGGCUAAUCCUGGUCGGACAUCAGGAGGUUAGUGCAAUGGCAUAAGCCAGCUUGACUGCGAGCGUGACGGCGCGAGCAGGUGCGAAAGCAGGUCAUAGUGAUCCGGUGGUUCUGAAUGGAAGGGCCAUCGCUCAACGGAUAAAAGGUACUCCGGGGAUAACAGGCUGAUACCGCCCAAGAGUUCAUAUCGACGGCGGUGUUUGGCACCUCGAUGUCGGCUCAUCACAUCCUGGGGCUGAAGUAGGUCCCAAGGGUAUGGCUGUUCGCCAUUUAAAGUGGUACGCGAGCUGGGUUUAGAACGUCGUGAGACAGUUCGGUCCCUAUCUGCCGUGGGCGCUGGAGAAUUGAGGGGGGCUGCUCCUAGUACGAGAGGACCGGAGUGGACGCAUCACUGGUGUUCGGGUUGUCAUGCCAAUGGCACUGCCCGGUAGCUAAAUGCGGAAGAGAUAAGUGCUGAAAGCAUCUAAGCACGAAACUUGCCCCGAGAUGAGUUCUCCCUGAGACUUUAAGUCUCCUGAAGGAACGUUAAAGACGAUGACGUUGAUAGGUCGGGUGUGUAAGCGCAGCGAUGCGUUGAGCUAACCGAUACUAAUGAACCGUGAGGCUUAACCUU